AAAUAGGAAACUUACCAUUUUGUGUUGGUGAGACUUUAUUGAGAGAGUUGAAUAAAGGGGAAAGGAAAGGAAGAGGAGGGCAUUUUGAGUGGCUGUUGUGACCUAGAGAGAGAGGUAGAGAGAGAGAGUGUGGCGUGUAGAGAGAGAGGGAGAAGAAGAAAGAAAGGAAGAAAGAAGAAGAAGGUGAAGAGGAACCAAGUCUAGAGCUUGAACAAGGGGUGUGAAGUUUGGGUGUUGAUCAUAUUGUGUUCUUGAUUUUACAAUCAAGAGAGGUAGUAAAUAGGAUUUCUUAUGGCACGCGUGGUGACGUGAGGAGUUCUAUCAUCGUGGGGUGUAUGGCGUGGGGUAAUCCUAUGGACGGAAAAAUGAUCAUCGUAGAACGCCAUUUAAAUUAUGUUUUGUUUUAAGAGACUUUCCUAAAUUAUCAGUGGGACUGAGUUAUUUAAUUUUUGUUUCUUUGAACUUUGCAUAAAAAUCUAUGUUUUCUUUUAAAAUUAAUGGUGCCAACUUGCAUGGUUUUAAGCAAGUCCCCACUGAGACUUUGAUAAUGAGUGGUAUUCUUUUAUAAACUAUGUUAUGCGAAUGUUUUAUAAGUAUUAGUUUAGGGUGUUCUUUACAGUCGCUGGCGAGGGUGCUAUUGGCGUGGACGCUGCUGGCGAGGGCAAUUUCUCCACUGACCUUGCAUAGGCUUCUCAUCGUUGUUUUUCUUUAUUUUGUUGUUCUAUAAAUUAAGCUAUGCUCUCAUCUGUAUGAACAUUGGCCUUAAGUUUGCCGCUUUUUGUUGUAUAUUGAU